UUUAAACUAAUCUAUGACAACUUUCAAGCUUUGUUCAUAGAGUAUAUCAAAAAGUGCAAGGCCGGUCUACUAAGAAUUUAGACCAUGUUCUUGUUCAAGCUCUUGAGUUGUGCUUGGUUUUUCUUUCUCAUGGUAACUUUUGCUGCCUCAGUAGCAGAUCUUGGCUUUCAGUACAAUGGCUUCGUAGAUGAUCAAAAUUUGCAUCGCGACGGCAUGGAAGAUACCACACCUGACGGAAUCUUGUGGUUAACAAACACGGAAAGAAAAUACGCAGUUGGCCACUGCUUCUACUCCAAUCCAGAUCAAUUCCAUAGCAACUCCUCUUCAUCAUCAGCCAACGGUAACACAACUACUACUGCAGUUUGCUAGAUGGCAUGUCUUACGGAGUAUCAUGCUGAUCUACUGAAAGUUUGGGACCCGUCCUACGAAAAAAGAUCGGUAAGCUUCAUGGCGAAAAUGCAGAAGAUGUGGGCGUGAAGGUUGACAGUCCUGCUCAGGAACACCAGCAGAAGUUGAGACUGCAGUUGUUAAAGCUUAGAUCUGCGUUCUUACAUCUCCACUUUUUUUCUUCUUAAAUAUUUGGUUUGCUAUAUAUUGUAUCUUUAUGUAAGUGUUAAGUGGCAUGCCAUGCCGUCUCGAAACUUGAAAAAUAGAUUGAAGUGCUAUUACAAACUCAUAUCUUUAAUUCAGCAUCAUCACAUUAUUGUCACUAUCUCUAGCUUAAUGGUUGUGUAACAUGAUUUGAGCUCUGCGCAGGAUUUAAAACUACACAAGGAGCAUGAGUAUAAGAAGGCGAUAGCUGGAAAGCAAAGUGCUGCAGGAUCACAGUCAAAGCCAUUUAGCUUCAAUCAGAGCAAAAUUUUGGCCUAUUCAGACCAUAGGACCCCUUGAGACAGGAAAGUCCUUCAGCAAAUUUUUCUGGCUUGAAUUCUUCUGAACCAUCACCCCAAUAUUUGGACUCCAAUAUAACAAUUGCAUACAUUCCAACAUCGUUUUUUGAACUUUUUUUAUCCUAUUAAUCUCAAGUAAGAACAAUCAACUAGCAAAUAUUUUUAUUUUAUUUUUGGGUGGAAUAUGUAUGAUCCCAUGGUUCCGGAGGUAAUUGGAUUUAGUUUAGGAAUUACUUGAAACGGUGAUAGAAAUAUUAUUUUGUUUCUUUGAAUGGACAUGGCAGAAGGGGUUUAAUCGGCUUUUGUCACCUCAUUUAACUAGUCAAACUGGUUGAUUUGUCACUAUAAA